AUUGAACGCUGGCGGCAUGCCUUACACAUGCAAGUCGAACGGCAGCACGGAGCUUGCUCUGGUGGCGAGUGGCGAACGGGUGAGUAAUAUAUCGGAACGUACCCAAGAGUGGGGGAUAACGUAGCGAAAGUUACGCUAAUACCGCAUACGAUCCAAGGAUGAAAGCGGGGGAUCGCAAGACCUCGUGCUCCUGGAGCGGCCGAUAUCUGAUUAGCUAGUUGGUGGGGUAAAGGCCCACCAAGGCAUCGAUCAGUAGCUGGUCUGAGAGGACGACCAGCCACACGGGAACUGAGGCACGUGCCAGACUCCUACGGGAGGCAGCAAUGGGGAAUUUUGGACAAUGGGGGCAACCCUGAUCCAGCAAUGCCGCGUGAGUGAAGAAGGCCUUCGGGUUGUAAAGCUCUUUUGUCAGGGAAGAAAAGGGUCUGGCUAAUAUCCGGGCCUCAUGACGGUACCUGAAGAAUAAGCACCGGCUAACUGCGUGCCAGCCGCCGCAGUAACAC
rnacentral:rRNA from 1 species